GAAUCACUUGCCGCGAGUUGCUUGUUUGCGUUUAAACUUUAGGGAUUGUGAUCAUGGAUGAUCUCUGGAAGAUGGUGUAAACUUCUUGCUUUCUCCACUUACAGGAAGCCCAGGAAGUGAAGGAAUCUCUCUCAUAUGGAGAACAUGUAGUUUAUUCAGCGCUAAUGCUCAGGAGCACCAUUCCUCUCCACUUUACAGGUUUGUUCUCCUCAGUGAAGAACCCGAUGAGGAACAUGAAAGAGCUCUGGCUGUAGGAGACUCUGUUCUAAAGCGUUUAAAAUGGGCUGAUCCUUUAGGAGCACCUAGAAGAGAUCUUUGUGAUAUGUGAAAGCAGUGAAAUCCCGCUUUGCGUUUCGUUUCGAUGUAUGGACCUGGAGGGUUGCCGUACCGGCCGCCAUGUUGUGUCACGUGGGUUCGUGUGGCAGCAGCAGGGGGCGAGAUGAUUCAUUUAAACCCCAAAAUCUCCUCAAACAUUCAACAAACGGGUUUCUUUUGUUCCCAAACAAUGAAGGAAAGAAGGAACACCAGAACCGCGCUGGAACACCGCGGAAAGAGAGCACUCCUGUCCCUGUGUGGAGGUUUGGAGCAGAUGUUGGGUGCAGGAAGUGUGGAUAUGAACAGUGAAGAAGAACAUGAUUUGGAGAGCUGCAGCACUGUUCAUGGAAACAGCAGUGUGAGUGAAAGUAACAGGAAUCAUGACACUCUAAGAUGCACACAUCUGCAGUCACUUAAAAAACGACCAACCCGACGUUCCAGCAGCAGAGGUGACGUGUCUGCUAAGUAUUUGAAUGCUAAUACAUUACUUUGAGCUCUUUCCCGCUGAAGAGGAGGAGCGACACCACAGAGGUUGAACUGGAGUGAGAACACUUUAGAUUGUAAAUGGAGUUGGAAGGAAGGCGUCAGCAGACCCAGAUGGAGGAUGACCAAGCUCUGUGUGUGUGUGUGUGUGUGUGUGUGUGUGUGUGUGUGUGUGUGUGUGUGUGUGUGUGUGCGUGUCCAAGUGAUUAGUGCAUCAACCCAUACUGCACCCAGUCAAACACCAGUUUCUGCUCCAGUCUGUGCAGCAGAGCAGUGACCCACACUGCACACACUCCCCCGUGAUCACCAGGCCAGUGAAGGAUCCCAGUGUGGAACCAGGAAACCUCCACUGCUGCUUCUCAUCAGUUUCACCCCAGAGAAACGAAUUCAGCUGAAAGAUUUCUUGUUCACUGGAUGAUUGUUGUGUCAUGCAGUGUGUUUGUGUUUCACCAUAAGCACAUCAGAACCCAGACAGAACCUUUUGUUCUUUGAGAGAGAAGACAUUUGAAUGUUGUUUUUUAAUAAGCAGAGAAACAUUUUCAGACAUGGUUCUGAUUUGUGAUUUAGAUUCUUAUUUUUAUUGGACAAUCACAUCAGUAAUGUUUGCAGUGUAACUAAACUCUUUAUUUUUUGUGAUUAUUAAAUUAUUUACAGAUUUAAGUUCAGACGUUGAAAAUAUUCUGUUCUGAAGUCACUUAUAUUUUACACAAAAACACUUCUGUCUUUUUUAUAUCAUUCCUUUAAAGAAUAAAAACAACAAUAAUAAACACUAAA